UGGGGAAUCUUACACAAUGGGGGCAACCCUGAUGCAGCGACGCCGCGUGAGCGAUGAAGCCCUUCGGGGCGUAAAGCUCUUUCGACCGGAACGAUAAUGACGGUACCGGGAGAAGAAGCUGCGGCUAACUACGUGCCAGCAGCCGCGGUAAUACGUAGGCAGCAAGCGUUGUUCGGAGUUACUGGGCGUAAAGAGUGCGUAGGCGGUUUUCUAAGUUCGGUGUGAAAUCUCCCGUCUUAACUGGGAGGGUGCGCCGAAGACUGGGAAGCUGGAGUGUGGGAAAGGCAGGCGGAAUUCCUGGUGUAGCGGUGAAAUGCGUAGAUAUCAGGAGGAACACCGGCGGUGUAGACGGCUUGCUAGACCAUAACUGACGCUGAGGCACUAAAGCGUGGGUAGCAAACA
rnacentral:rRNA from 1 species